rnacentral:lncRNA from 1 species
AAUAGGCCGUUCCAAGAUGCUGUCAAAAUUAAAUCAAUAUGGCUACUGGAAGGCAAACAUUGAAUAUUAUUCUAUCAGGUUCUUAUGGUUUUAGAUCAUUUUAGUUGUUGUACAAAGAUUAAUUUAACAUUUUCUCUGGAAGUAUUAAUUUAGAAAGAUAAUAUGCCUCAUUGGUGUUGUGUUUUGAAGUGUGAAAUGCAAAGUAAUCGUGAUAAAGUUAGCUUUUACCACUUACCAUCAGUGCUACAUUCUAAGCACAAAACUGAACCAAUUUAACUAAAUAAGUUAUAGUUAUCAUCUGAGAGACAACAACAAUGGUAAAAUGCAAUAAAAUAUAAAGAUUUUACUAGCAAAAUGGAAAUUCCCCUGUAAUCAUCUUAUAUCUGGAAAACCAGCCGACUUAACUGAUAAUAACAAUCCAGAUUGGGUUCCUUCAAUAAAUAUGGGGUAUAUAAACACAAUGAAAUGAGUUCCCCAAAAUCUAAAAUGGGAAUUAAGGUACCAAAGGAGAAUUAAAAGAAAAGGGUACCUACAAGAAAAAA